UUUCCCCUUGAUCUAUUACUAAAACAACAACUAAAAAAUUUUUAUUUUUCAGAUAAAUCUUCAAUUGUGGAAGUCUGUACACGAUUAUAAAUGUCCCGCGCUAUCACCUUGUUCCUUUAAUGUGUUCCGGAUUUAUCCAAGAAGCAUAUACAAGAUCUUAUAUUGGCUGGUGUGAAUCAUCGAGUUUGGCUGGUAGUUUACUAUUGAUUGGUGAUCCUGAUGAUGUUUUUAUUUCAAAUUUUUAACAUUUUACAUUAUUUUUCUACAAAUUGUGAAAUCAAGAAAAUGUUUUGUAUUUGCAAAAACAUCUAUAAAUCUUGAAAUAAUUUUCAUUACGAAAAUUAAAUAAAAUUAUUACCCACGUUAUAAUGAAGAAAA